ACUCAAAUGAAUUGACGGGGGCCCGCACAAGCGGUGGAGCAUGUGGUUUAAUUCGAUGCAACGCGAAGAACCUUACCUACCCUUGACAUCCUGUGAAGCCACUAGAGAAGGUGGUGUGCCGAAAGGAGCACAGAGACAGGUGCUGCAUGGCUGUCGUCAGCUCGUGUCGUGAGAUGUUGGGUUAAGUCCCGUAACGAGCGCAACCCCUAUGCUUAGUUGCUAGUUUGCAAGAGCGCACUUUAAGCAGACUGCUCGUGAUAAGCGAGAGGAAGGCGGGGACGAUGUCAAGUCAUCAUGGCCUUUAUGGGUAGGGCUACACACGUGCUACAAUGGUGGGAACAGAGGGGUGCUUUCCUGGAAGGGGUCGCGAAUCUCAGAAAUCCCAUCGUAGUCCGGAUUGGAGUCUGCAACUCGACUCUAUGAAGUCGGAAUCGCUAGUAAUCGCAGAUCAGCAGGCUGCGGUGAAUACGUUCUCGGGCCUUGUACACACCGCCCGU
rnacentral:rRNA from 1 species